rnacentral:rRNA from 1 species
GUGUCAGCAGCCGCGGUAAUACGGAGGGUGCAAGCGUUGUUCGGAAUUAUUGGGCGUAAAGAGCGUGUAGGCGGCCGGAUGUGUCAAAUGUGAAAGCCCUGAGCUCAACUCAGGAAGUGCAUUUGAAACUGUCCGGCUCGAGUAGGGGAGAGGGAAGUGGAAUUCCUGGUGUAGAGGUGAAAUUCGUAGAUAUCAGGAGGAACACCGGUGGCGAAGGCGACUUCCUGGCCCUAUACUGACGCUGAGACGCGAGGGCGUGGGUAGCAAACAGGAUUAGAUACCCUGGUAGUCCACGCCGUAAACGAUGUUCACUAGGUGUUGGGGGUAUUGACCCCCUCAGUGCCGGAGCUAACGCAUUAAGUGAACCGCCUGGGGAGUACGGUCGCAAGACUAAAACUUAAAGGAAUUGACGGGG